GAAGGGUUACCUAGGAACCAGGAAGCAGACCCUCAUCUGACACCAAUCUUGGCCUUGAUCCUGGACUUCCCAGCCUCCAGAACUAUAUGUAUUCUGCAAUCAUGACCAAACAGAAGGACUAAAUCUGGAUCAGAAUCUGAAAUGUAAAAAGGCUACUUGUCAACCACGCCAUUGUUUUCUGUUGGAGCUAGCAGAGCAGCCUCGGCUGCACAUUCCUGGGACGUGAAUAAUAUCGGUUGUGAUUACACUUCAGUAUCUCAUCCAUUACCAGCCCUGUGAACACUGAAUAUAACCUAAUUAGGAAAUGUGAAGGGCCCUUUGCUAGGGAUGAGUGCUGGGGCAGCAAAGGUCCACAUGCCUUCCCGACACAGGGAUUCACCGGGUUUCACACACAGGUUUGGAUCCCGCAGGGCUCAAGGACAGACUUUACUGGUCUAGUCCACAUUCCUUGUAUAAUCACCAGUAAGCUGAGAAUGUGACACCUUGGAUUCCAUCCUAUGUUACACUCCUCUUUAAAUGCAUUGCAAAGGAGAUAUGCCAGGACUGAUAAGUCAGUCAAUUUCAAAUAGGUAUUAAAGUAUUAAUGAAGUGA